UUGCUUUCUUUUUUUUGCUUCUUCAUAAAUUUCUCGGAACUUGAAUCAACUACAUUCAUUACAGAAGAUGGAGAAACCCAGCUGACAUCCCAACUUUAAAAAAUAAUUUAUAUCACAAACCAAGGCUACAUAUUAUUGUGUCACAAGGUAAAGCCCAAAUAAAGAUCCAUUUCACAAAGAUAAGCCCUUUACCGUACACAG